GUGAAAAAAAAAUUGUUCACAUUUGAGGUGUACAAUUUUAUUUUGUGAUCAUAUUAAAAAUUAAAUACAAGAUAAAAUCUUAAUAUUAUUAAAUUACUAUUAAAUUGUACAUAUGAAAUAACAUUAUAGUACAUUAGAAGUGCUAUUAACUUAUAUAUUUUACAUAAUUAUAGUAAAAUUGAAUAAGUGUGACUGAAAAUGUUGCUGAAUUAAUAACUGAAUUUUAGCUGAUUAAUAUUGUGGAUAAAUAUGUUAAUAAUUAAAAUUAUUAUGUAAACCAUAUGUAUGUAUAAAAUGUAAUAUAAAUUGAAAUUAUUACUAGUGGUGGGCAUUGGGUAUGACUGAAUACAUGACAGUUAUAUACAUUUGAUAGUUCUAUUAAAAUACUUAUUCAUUCAAAUAUUUGAAAAAAUAAAAA